UCUCCGCUGCGCCGCUCGAGCGCCUCCGUCGCCCCCGCUACUUCCGAGCGUGCGUUUGUCUUGCUGCGCCUCCCCCAGCGCCCACACCUCGCCACCAUGUUCUCCGGCUUCUCGGUAGGGGAUUCCUCAUCUUGCCUGCUCCAGCUACCUAGUGUCCUAUUCGCCGCCUUCCUUAGCUUCUAGCGUGUGCCGCCUUCCCCAGGUGUGUUUAUGCUGCUACCCUUCUGCCUGCAUCUGUGAUUCCAAUGAUACUAUGAUAGCCCAAUUCCGAUUCUGCAGUUUAUUGUUCUCCAUCAGAUUUAUGUUCCCUGUGCUGUGCCUGUGAUGUCAUAGUAGUUGGUGGCUUCCUGUUGUAGUGCCUCUUCCUCAACUGUCAUUGUGUGUAAGCUGUUAGAUUUAAUCUUGGUCGUAUAUUUUGCUUACCAAUUGGCAUGGGAAUGAAUAUACACAGAUUUAUUUCACAUAUAUUCCUACGAAUAACACUGGGUUUAGCUUACUGCUGAAUUUACUUCCUAAUUACAAUGGUUCUACCAACAACAUAUGAGACUGAGAUUGUUCAUAAAAACUUGCUAUUUCUUAGGUUCAAUCUGCAAGUAUUAGCACGUGUGUUUGUUUAUAAUCGAGGAAUUAAUCAAUUCUGCCUCCACACACGGCAAACACACCAUUGAUUGACAACUAACAUUGUCUCUGGCCUACCACCAGCGGUGGCAGCAAUGCAACUCCAUGUCCUACUCUAAUUUCGUUGUCUUACGUACCAGUGGGUUUCAGAACAGCCAGUAUAUCAUGUCACGUAAAAAAUAACAGAUUACUUUGGCACUUUAACAUAGAGGUUGUGUAGACUUCUUCUCUCUGGCCCAGCUCUGCUUUUGUUCAAACCAGCUCUGUUUGCUGCAGACCAAUUUUCAUAAAUCACACAUACAAAUGAGUUUAGAGCAUAUUCUUUUUUAUUUUCUUGAAAUUCAAAUGUGACUGGCUAAAUUCAGUACAACGGUGUUUACUUAGACUGGAAAAAGAAGGUAUAGUGCAUAAUCUAGAUCCAGUAAAAAAGAUAGCCACCUGUCACCUGAAAUGGAAGCAGUGACAUGGAGAUGCUCAUUCCAUUUCUUAAGGCUGCAUCUCACUAACGCUGCUGUUGGGCCUCAUUUUGAUAUUGCAACCUCUCACCAGUCAUCCAUAUACGCAUCAAGGCAACCGAUUUUGAUUUUGUUGGCCAUGUUGUUUCUGCAAAUAACUUUACAGAUUCAUCUUGUGACUUGAUCUGUCCUCUAGCUGUAGGCUUGAUUUGGUUAUUUCAAAAUUCCUAUGGAGAUUUACUUUGACAUGGGUUAUUGUUUCUUUAAAUUUAUACAGUCAUGCAUUUGCUCUCUAAUUGACACCAAAUUUUAUCUUCAGGAUGAAAUUCCAUAGUCUGAAUAUGUUUGUCCCAAACUCUUAACUCUGAACAUGUUGUCUCAGGCAAAACCAAAAUCGGUUGCCUUGCCUACGAAGGUGUCUGAACAUGGCAGGUCAACACUCUCAGUCAGUUGCAACUGUUGGAUAUUUGAAGACAUGACCCUGCUAUAAUAAUCUUCCAACCAUAGUUUCGCAAUCAGCUCAAGAACUCUACCAUCAAAUUGAUACAUGGUUUGGCAAAUAACCAAGGACUCUACCAUUAGGUUGAUAUGGAUGGGAAGAAGAAUUAUUAACAACUAAAAAACGAGAGAAACGAGUCCCCGAAGAAAGUGGCCAAAUGCUACUAUUAUCUGUGCCUAUGUUUUCAAGGCGUCCGCUUUGUGCUGUUGAGGCGUCCAGGGUGUCGCCUAGGCGGAGAAGGAGGCGCUUCGAUCGAUUCUGGACGCCCUGGUCCCGUGCGGGCAGGUCGGGCGGGAAACAGGUGCUGGCGCGCGCGGGAACCAGAGUUGGCGGGAGGGAAAUGAAUUGGGCAGGAGAGAGAGAUUAAGCAGAGGCAGGAGAGAGAGGGGAACACACCUACAGCUCCAGAUCGAGGGGAAAAGAGAGAGGAGCUCUCUCCUCUCGCGCCGCCGGCCCAGAUCCGCUCCUCCUCCGCCGGCCUUCCCCUCUCCGGCCAAGCUCCUCCUCCGCAGGCCCUUCCCCUCUCCGG